rfam:Mortierella elongata AG-77 unplaced genomic scaffold K457scaffold_46, whole genome shotgun sequence.
CCGAAAAUAGCUCAGUUGGUAGAGCGGGAGACUGUAGUUUGUCUGUCAUCUCUAGGUCCCUGGUUCAAAUCCGGGUUUUCGGA